rnacentral:rRNA from 1 species
ACUGCGAAGGGGGGACGGAGAAGGCUAUGUUGGCCGGGCGACGGUUGUCCCGGUUUAAGCGUGUAGGCUGGUUUUCCAGGCAAAUCCGGAAAAUCAAGGCUGAGGCGUGAUGACGAGGCACUACGGUGCUGAAGCAACAAAUGCCCUGCUUCCAGGAAAAGCCUCUAAGCAUCAGGUAACAUCAAAUCGUACCCCAAACCGACACAGGUGGUCAGGUAGAGAAUACCAAGGCGCUUGAGAGAACUCGGGUGAAGGAACUAGGCAAAAUGGUGCCGUAACUUCGGGAGAAGG